rnacentral:lncRNA from 1 species
AUGAAAACUAUUUAGGGGGUUGUUACAGUAGUCCAGGCAAGAGAUGGUGAGGCCAGGUGGCUGGAAUGGAAGAAGUUGGUUUGGAGUGACAGAUAUGGGAGCAAUCCAAACGACAAUGAAACCCCAGGAGCUGGUGAGAGUGCCAGGAGAACGGGCCCACAAAAGGAAGAGAGAGAAUGGAGGGCACAGCUCUUGAGGCCUCCAGAACUCCACGUCAGCAAGACAGCAAGGGCCCCCCGGAGGAAACGGGCUUCGAGAUGACAGGUCACACGGUGCAGCGAGGAGCGCGUGAGAGAGAGGGCCAGGGGAUGGCCGCGCGCUUCUGGAGAGGCCAGACAGAAGAGUGGGAAAAGUGCGCGUAAACUUGGCAAAUCCAAGCCCGUUAAUGACCCUCUAGGGCGUGGUUUGAGCAGAAAUCUUUAACCUCCUUCUUCAAUCUGAGUUAAAGACUAAGACGUGGAAUAUAAGAAAGCAUGAAGAAGCUUCCAGAAUGGGAUAACUUCUGUGAAAAGCAGGAUCCUGUUGGAAUGGUCACCAACACAUCUGAAGGUAGAGAUUCAGAGGACAGCCCUCCAAAUAAAGAGUCUUGUGCUUGUUUAAUGAAACAUCAAAGAAGCACCUGGAGAGACCACAGGAUCAUGAAAACGCACGUGAGCAGUGUUCCUGCUGGCUCAGAAGGUGUGUGAUGGCACCAGACAGACUCUGACUCCCUGCCACCAGAAACAGAGUAAAUUCAUCUCUACCCUGCGCACGGAGAAGCUGUUCCUCCUCGUAGGAGUUCACAGUGAGCCUCCGAGCAGUGGGGAUAGCACCCCGUGGCAAUCAGUGUCGACGGGUCUGGAGCAGGCCUUACACCGCUGAGAUGGCUUCUCUUCCUUUCGUCUCUAAACUGCUUCUCCCCCCAGAUUUCUUUUUGCUCUUAUCCUUUGGCAAAAAGUGUGCAUCUACCCUUCGUAGCAAACUGAGCAGAUUCCACUGUAUGUUCUUCAGGGGCAAAUUAGGACUCAGAGCUCCACAUUCUCCAGAAGCGAUAAAGGCCAUGUCACUUAAUCCCUUUGCUGGGUCUUGACCAGCCUUGGGAGGGCAGCUUCAAAGACCGAAGUGGUGCAGAGCCCUGGCCCGACUGGAUCCCGUCCCCUUAUGUUUCCAUGCUUCCCCGCUUUUGAUGAUGCUACUGCGCUGGGAGCAGGAACUGAAGGCGGGUGCUCUGACACUCAGAGACACAUCUCUCAACACAAGAAGUAGGAGAAAGGGUUCAAUCGUCUUAGCAGGAACUGGAGAUGUGUGCACAAGAUGCACUGCUCAGCGUGUCUGGGAGCCCCAGAGCUGCCGCAAGAGGAUAGGCAGCCCACGGAUGGAGAAAUGAUUUUAAGGAGAAGAGACCGUGGGCCUGUAAAUGCAAGUAGCUGCCAUUUAUGGAGCAUUCGUCUGCUCUUUGAAUUCCCGCGAGAACCAGCGCCCACGCACGGAAAUCCCAAGUGUUUUGGGAGCUCUGUGCCAGGAACACGGACAAAGACCAAGUGCGCAGUUCCUACUAUGAUCACAGUAUCACAGCCACCUAACCCAUUGAGUUGUUACAAGGAAGUAGCGGUGGAGUUUGGUUGGACAAAUGACUUUCCUGUCCUCUGCGUCCUCAUCCAUGCCUAGAGGGGAAUGAUGGCCUAAUGCUGGCAGAGGAUUCCAUAGUUUCUUAACUCAUCCUGCUAACACAGUCUAGCACCUUCCAAGGAGUACAGGAUGUGGAGAUAUUUAACAACUAUUGUACUUGUUCUCAGAUUUGGGGGCCUCAGCUGAAACUCUGAAUCAACAGGAAAAGUCACAUCUUAACAUAGUAUUAUGUAUAUGUCAUAGGCUCUUACUAGUAGUUCUUCGGUGUAUUAUGAUUUAAAUCAUGUUCCUUGACAAAAUAAAUUUGGAAAACACUGCUCUAUUGUUUUGCUUUUAAGUAUGAUGUAAGCUAUUGGUUUGGGAUAACUUUUUAAUCUUGUUAAGGGAGUAUUCUAUAUGCAAUUUAUUUAACUUUUUAUCAGAAAUGGAUAUUAAAUUUUGUUAAAUGCCUUUGACAUUUGUCAAGAUGAACAUAAAGUUUGUCUCUUUUGACCCAUUGAUGUGAUCAAUGAUAUUUUUAGAUUUCCCAAUAUUGAAU